rnacentral:rRNA from 1 species
ACGGGUGAGUAACGCGUGGGAAUGUGCCCUUUGGUACGGAACAACUGAGGGAAACUUCAGCUAAUACCGUAUGUGCCCUUCGGGGGAAAGAUUUAUCGCCAUUGGAGCAGCCCGCGUUGGAUUAGGUAGUUGGUGGGGUAAAGGCCUACCAAGCCUACGAUCCAUAGCUGGUCUGCGAGGAUGAUCAGCCACACUGGGACUGAGACACGGCCCAGACUCCUACGGGAGGCAGCAGUGGGGAAUCUUGCGCAAUGGGCGAAAGCCUGACGCAGCCAUGCCGCGUGUAUGAUGAAGGUCUUAGGAUUGUAAAAUACUUUCACCGGGGAAGAUAAUGACGGUACCCGGAGAAGAAGCCCCGGCUAACUUCGUGCCAGCAGCCGCGGUAAUACGAAGGGGGCUAGCGUUGCUCGGAAUUACUGGGCGUAAAAGGCGCGUAGGCGGACAGUUUAGUCAGAGGUGAAAGCCCAGGGCUCAACCUUGGAAUUGCCUUUGAUACUGGCUGUCUUGAGUUCGGGAGAGGUGAGUGGAAUGCCGAGUGUAGAGGUGAAAUUCGUAGA